UGGUUAUUAAAAGGCUCUGAACUUGUCAAGCACAAGCAGUCAAAAAUGGUUGGCUAAUUAUAGUCCAGACGAAGUAGUUAAAUGUAGGAUGAUGGCCAGGAUGAUGAACUCUAACGAUUCAGGAUUGGAACGAGGAUAUGGAAACGACUACCAGAUCACAAGGCGUACAUACUUCCAACAGCCAGAUUCCUAUACUGAGAGAACCCCAAAUGUGAGAAACAGGAAGUGGAAUGGGGGUUCCAAGACGUUCCAGAAAAGACCUAAUUCUCGGAGGAAUGGUUCCAGGACUGCUUCAUUAGAAUACACCAUACAAAGGGGAAAAGAAAGGAAUACAUCUGCUCUGCAUGACACAAGUCGCAGAACUACACA